AAUAUUGGUCAAUGGAGGCAACUCUGAACCAGCCAUGCCGCGUGCAGGAUGACGGGCCUAUGGAUUGUAAACUGCUUUUGUUCAGGAAGAAAACAUACUACGUGUAGCACAUUGACGGUACCGUAAGAAUAAGGAACCGCUAACCCCGUGCCCGCAGUCGCGGUAAUACGGAGGAUCCAAGUGUUAUCCGGAAUCAUUGGGUUUAAAGGGUCCGUGGGCGGCCUUAUAAGUCAGCGGUGAGAGUUUUUGGCGUACCCAAAAAAUAGCCGUUGAUACUGUAGGGCUUGAAUUUUUAUGAGGUGACUGGAGUAUGUGGUGUAGCGGGGAGAUGCUUAGAUAUUACAUGGAGUACCAAUUGCGAGAGCAGGUUACAAACGAACGAUUGACGCAGAUGGACGAAAGCGUGGGUAGCGAACA
rnacentral:rRNA from 1 species